rnacentral:rRNA from 1 species
GAUGAACGCUGGCGGCGUGCCUAAUACAUGCAAGUCGAGCGAAGCGGGGACGGGUGAGUAACACGUGGAUAACCUACUAUAAGAGUGGGAUAACAUCGGGAAACCGGAGCUAAACCGGAAAAUUAUCGAUGGAGCUGCGCUGCAUUAGCUAGUGGGUAAGGUAACGGCUUACCAAGGCAACGAGGCAUAGCCGACCUGAGAGGUGGAUCGGCCACACUGGAACUGAGACCCGGUCCAGACGCCUACGGGAGGCAGCAGUAGGGAAUCUUCCGCAAUGGGCGAAAGCCUGACGCAGCAACGCCGCGUGAGUGAUGAAGGUCUUCGGAUCGUAAAACUCUGUUAGUAGGGAAGCGGUACCUAAUCAGAAAGCCACGGCUAACUACGUGCCAGCAGCCGCGGUAAUUC